rnacentral:misc_RNA from 1 species
CUUCCCCUGCAAGCCUCUUCAUUUGUUGGCUCAAGUGCUUGUUUGCCUUGGCCGACAUCGGGUUUCCUGUGCUGUAUACCUAAUGGACGGCAUUCGGUUGGCUAGAACGUCCCUUUUCCGCCUUGUGCUACGCCUCUCGGGGUCGUGGCGCGGGGUGGACCUCAAAGAAUUCGCCGUGUUCCACAUCCCGUGCAAGCACGUUGUGUGCGAGCUCGGGCUGUUGGCCCAUGGCGGUAAUGCUCGAACUCUCGGAUGCGGAAUAUUGAGUGGGUACGAGGCCCUCGGCCUCUAUUUGCCCCGGAACAAGCGUUCAACGCUUCGUGCGAACGACGGCCGUACCGUCUUGACCUAUUCCUCGUGGAUUGGAUCAUGCGGCUCCGGCGUCGGUAAGGAAUGC